AGAUGCCCUUUCAAGCUCCUCUGCAUCUCCUGUGGCAAGUGAUGCUGUUUCUGGCCAAGAGGAAGUGACAUGGAGUCUGGAAAGCUGAGUCAGCACAACGGGGAGGCCACAGAGGUUGGAGAAGCUGCCCAAACUUGUCAUGGCCUUUUAAGAUUCAGCUCCCAGAAGUGAAGCCAUCAACAAUUGUGAACACACCUAAAGACAGAUGGGCAGUUGACACAGAGCUCCACUCUUUGCUUCAGUUUUGUCAUCAUGUCAGAACAUCCAGAAACUUACAGAAUAAGAGAGAAGCAGGGAAAUGUCCAGUAUAUUUACCAGUGACCACAAAUUUGAAGCUAAAAAGUAUUACAGCUGGAAAAUAAAACUGAGGCUUUUCCUUAGCAGAAGACUGAGGCACUACAUGAAGAAUUCAAUGAGGUUUUGAGAUGAAGAAUAGGGUUUAAAAGGAGAAUCGGAAAUGGGAUGAUUCAGAAGAAGUGGAAAUGAACACGGCUUCACAGAGAAAGUCUAGUGGACAAGGUUUUUGCCCCACUGAACUAAAAAUGUUUUGGGAGGCUGAGCCAAUGUCAAGAAAGCAACACAGACAUUGUCCAGGGGAAAGUGAGGAGACAGCCCCAUCCCAGGAGAGGAUGAGUCACCAGAGAGUCUGGACUGAGGAGAGAAGCCUUGGACACGUCUCUUGUGUGGGAGAAAAUGCUCUCAGAGUUCUCCCUCCUCUUAUCACCAGCCAGCCCCUGAACUGGAAAAAGCUCCUAAAUGUCACAGAUGUGCGAAAAACUUUAGCCGAGUUUCUUAUCUUUGUUGACAUCAGAGACUCCACACAUGAGAGAAGCCUCACAAGUGCAGUGGGUGUGGGCAAGGAUUCAGUGAGUGCUCCCACCUCACUGCCCACCUGAGGACUCACACAGGGGAGAGACCAUACCAGGGUGGGGAAUGUGGGAAAAGCUUCACCCAGAGUUCCAGCUUCAUUGUCCACCAGAGGAUCCACACUGGAAGAAGCCUUAUUAGUGCACCAUCUGUGGGAAGAGAUUCAACAGUUCCCACUUUAGCAAUUGGCAAGUCCACACUGUGAGAGACUGUACAAGUGUGCUCAGUGUGGGAAAAGCUUCAAUGACAGACCCAACUUGACUGCCCCCCAGAAAAUCCACACUGGGGUAAAGCCAUACAAGUGCCUUCAGCAUGAGAGAAGCUUCACUAAGAUCUCUGCCCUCACCCCGCACUGGGAUACACAUUAAAAUGAUAUAUCAGAGGACAGGAGAGAUGUGCGGUGUUUGUAGAAAAUUAGACACAUCAACUCUGUGUUUUUUAAAGCUUCCUUCUGCUGUGGAGAGUUCUACUAGCCAGUCCCUGGCUUAGCAGUAAACUUCUUGACUAUUGGAUCUCAAGAACCAUGUCCAGGAAUAGAAAUCAGCCUACAAAAGUAGAACUCUUUCUAUUUCUGCCUGCAACUUCACGGUUCUGUCUCACUGUGGAUUUCUAUUUUGCUUUGCAGGGGAGGAGGCUCUAAAGCCCAUAAUAAUCCCUGCCAGGAAACUAAAGUAUCCUUGUUCUGAACAAAGAACGCGUGCCUAGUAGCCUGAGAACUGUUCCUGGGCCACAUCAGAGAAGAAAUUCUCCCCCACCUCCUGGGGAGCACAUCUAGAAUUUUAACAGCCUGGACAUAUUCUAAAGCAAUAAUUGACUUCUAGGCAUUUACUGUUUUAUACUACUGCUGCCUUCAAGGCAGAUCACUACUCUGCAAUGAAGUCACAACCUAAAAGGGAACAAAGGAAAGGAAGGACAGGUUAAGCCAUUUGGGAAAAAACUAAAUCUAAGCAACCUGAUCUUAGAGCAACUGCAAUAUCUAGUUUAAUUUUAUAAGAUUUCUCAUUUUGC